rnacentral:lncRNA from 1 species
AUUUCUAAAAAUCAUCAGUUUGACAUUUGAAACAUGUAGCUCAUAUUACUCAGGUGAGCGAUCCAGGGUCAUCAUGACCCUCUUGUUUUUAUUAUUAUAAUAAAUGUUUACAAUGUUUUAGAUUGUCCAGGGAAUCUUUAUGUAUGAUUGUAUGUGAUGUAAAUGGACUACAUCAUGACAAAAUGUACUCUAUGACUCAUUGAUGUUACUUCAUAAUUAUCAAAUGGUGUCUUAGUAAUUUUCAAGUCCAUAUUCUUUAUUAAAUUUUUGUGCAGUAACAUGAUUCCCUUGAUGUGGUGGAUGCGUAAUGGUAAUCAGCAGGUCCAUUACCUUUAUACCAGUUUUCUGUUGGAGAAAGUUUAUUGCACAACCACGGAGGGAAUGGGUUUGAACUUGCUUGGGUCAAGACCAUUUCUUAUCACAAGUCCAAUACAAGUCUUUCCUUGAAGCGGACACGGGUGAAAUGAAAUCAAGUUACUGACAUAAAGAUAAAAUUAUAUAAAUUUGUCAAAUACAAGUAAAUAUUAAUUCAAACAUCUUGAAAGUGUUGUUGCAAGAAACCUUUUUGUCAUGAUGAGGUUCAUAUGCCUGAAGGGAAUGAAUCAAAGGAUGCCUUAAUUAAAACAAUGCAUUUUUGCUCAUCGACUCACACCUUGUUAUAUAUAUAUAAAAAAGAAAAACAUCCAAUGGGUUUCCUCUUUCUGUAUUUCUGUCUACCUACCGGUUUCAUAUCAUAAUCAUCAGGGCAGACAUAUAAAAAAUGUGUAGUUGCUACGCAACGUCACGUGUACGCAACGUCAUUUUAUGACGUCAUCAAUAUUUGUUUAGUUUUGGCUUAAAUAUAUCAAAAAAGUAACGUUCCUUAGACAACCUAGAUGAAACAUUAUUAUUAUGAAAUUUAUAAAAAGGAAAAAUUAAAUACUGUGAAUUGUGUGAUCAAUGGCCAAUCAGAUUUUGGAUAGCACUUGUUCUUUUUGGGAGGUAAUUGAUUUAUUUGCUUCUUUGCCAGAUGAUUUGGUUGAUUUCUUUAUUGAUACAUGUACAUGUUUCUGUUUCAAAAUAUACAAUUUUAAACAUUUUUUCUAUUCUUUCUUAUUUCAACAAAAACAAACGCAAACCUAUCCUUAAUCCAUAUUUAGAAAGGGUUUUUUUAUUUUUAGAUGUUGCUAAUUAUAAACAUGAUGUAAUGAAAUAUCAGUUGGGUUAUAUUUUAUGGUUUUGUACAAUUUGUUCAUAUGUUAUGUUGUUUUUCUUUGAGUACAUCUAGCGAUAGAAUUAUCAUUUGUAAAAAAAUAAAAUAAAGAUAAAUACAUUUUA